CAUGUCCUUUUGAAAAUGAUUUAAGGUCUAAUCUGCUCAAUGUUUAAUAAAUAGCCGCAGUAUUCUAACUGUGCGAAGGUAGCAUAAUAAUUAGUUCUUUAAUUGGGAACUGGAAUGAAUGAUUGGACGAGAAAAUUACUGUCUCUUUAUAAAAUAUUUUUGAAUUUUAUUUUUGAGUUAAAAAGCUCAAAUUUAUUUAAAAGACGAGAAGACCCUAUAGAGUUUAAUAUUAAAAUUAUAUUUAAGUUUAGUAAUAUUUUUUAAUUUUUUUAUUUGGUUGGGGUGACUUGGAAAUUGAAUAAAUUUUCUUAAUUUGUAGUUAUGGAUUUAUAAUUUUCUUAUCUUUAAUAUUAAAAUUAAUAUAAAUUACCUUAGGGAUAACAGCGUAAUUUUUCUUUAAAGUUCUUAUUGAAAGGAAAUUUUGCGACCUCGAUGUUGGAUUAAAAUUAAUUUUAGGUGCAGUUGCUUAAAAAUUAGGUCUGUUCGACCUUUAAAAUUUUACAUGAUCUGAGUUUAGACCGGCGUGAGCCAGGUUGGAUUCUAUCUUUAAAUAAUUAUUAUAUUUUAGUACGAAAGGACCAUAUAUGAAUUUGAUAAAAUUG
rnacentral:rRNA from 1 species